UUCCGCGGGUAUGCCCCCGGAGACCUUCCACGGCGACUAUAAACAUGCGUGCAGUUCGGGAGAUUGCCCCCGGGCCACGCCAUCACUGUGCUGGAAGACCCCGCUGGGUCAACCCGCAGCCGUGCUCCUCACCGAGCCCCGGUUCACAGGUCAAACGAUGGUGGCCGCCUGCCAGGCGGUUUUGAUAUGAUCGACUCCCCUGAAAUCUUUUUAGGGGCGAAAUUUGGUCCGUAGGUGAACCUGCGGAAGGAUCAUUACCGAGUUAGGGGUCCUCUGGCCCUGAACCUCCAACCCUUGUAUACUUGCCUUGUUGCUUUGGCGGGCCGUGAGGUCCCUGGACCUUCCGUCGACCUCGGUGGACGAGCGCCCGUCAGAGACCCCCUAUAACUCGUUUAACUGUGAAGUCCGAGUAUGAAACAAUCGUUAAAAAACUUUCAACAACGGAUCUCUUGGUUCUGGCAUCGAUGAAGAACGCAGCGAAAUGCGAUAAGUAAUGUGAAUUGCAGAAUUCAGUGAAUCAUCGAAUCUUUGAACGCACAUUGCGCCCUCUGGUAUUCCGGGGGGCAUGCCUGUUCGAGCGUCAUUACACCCCUCAAGCACCGCUUGGUAUUGGGCGACCGUCCCCCGGGGCGCGCCCGAAAGUCAGCGGCGACGCGGUCGGUCUUCAUGCGUAGUAAAACUUCUGUUUCGUAUUUGCAGCCCGGGCGUGUCCGCCGGAUAACCCACUAUUUUACAAUGGUUGACCUCGGAUCAGGUAGGGAUACCCGCUGAACUUAAGCAUAUCAAUAAGCGGAGGAAAAGAAACCAACAGGGAUUGCCUCAGUAACGGCGAGUGAAGCGGCAACAGCUCAAAUUU
rnacentral:rRNA from 1 species